UUACCCACUCCCGGCACGGGGAGGUAGUGACGAAAAAUAACGAUACGGGACUCAUCCGAGGCCCCGUAAUCGGAAUGAGUACACUCUAAACCNUUUAACGAGGAUNNNNNGGAGGGCAAGUCUGGUGCCAGCAGCCGCGGUAAUUCCAGCUCCAAUAGCGUAUAUUAAAGUUGUUGCGGUUAAAAAGCUCGUAGUCGAAUUUGUGUCUCGUGCCGCUGGUUCAUCGUCCGCGGUGUUAACUGGCGAGUCGCGAGACGUCCUGCCGGUGGGCUUAGCCCGCGAGGGCGGCCCAACUCAAUCCUGCCGCGGUGCUCUUCAUUGAGUGUCGAGGUGGGCCGGCACGUUUACUUUGAACAAAUUAGAGUGCUUAAAGCAGGCUAAAACUUCGCCUGAAUACUGUGUGCAUGGAAUAAUGGAAUAGGACCUCGGUUCUAUUUUGUUGGUUUUCGGAACUCCGAGGUAAUGAUUAAUAGGAACGGAUGGGGGCAUUCGUAUUGCGACGUUAGAGGUGAAAUUCUUGGAUCGUCGCAAGANGGACAGAAGCGAAAGCAUUUGCCAAAAACGCUUUCAUUGAUCAAGAACGAAAGUUAGAGGUUCGAAGGCGAUCAGAUACCGCCCUAGUUCUAACUAUAAACGAUGCCAGCUAGCGAUCCGUCGACGUUCCUCCGAUGACUCGACGGGCAGCUUCCGGGAAACCAAAGCUUUUGGGUUCCGGGGGAAGUAUGGUUGCAAAGCUGAAACUUAAAGGAAUUGACGGAAGGGCACCACCAGGAGUGGAGCCUGCGGCUUAAUUUGACUCAACACGGGAAACCUCACCAGGCCCGGACACCGGAAGGAUUGANAGAUUGAGAGCUCUUUCUUGAUUCGGUGGGUGGUGGUGCAUGGCCGUUCUUAGUUGGUGGAGCGAUUUGUCUGGUUAAUUCCGAUAACGAACGAGACUCUAGCCUGCUAACUAGGCGUAUUUUGACAUUCUAAAGGCCCGCCGGCUUGGGG
rnacentral:rRNA from 1 species